rnacentral:rRNA from 1 species
CGCCCUUCAGAGGGGGACGAACAGUGGAACCGACUGCUAAUACCGCAUACGAUCUAACCUCGGCAUCGAGGAUAGAUGAAAGGUGGCCUCUACAUGUAAGCUAUCACUGAAGGAGGGGAUUGCGUCUGAUUAGCUAGUUGGAGGGGUAACGGCCCACCAAGGCGAUGAUCAGUAGCCGGUCUGAGAGGAUGAACGGCCACAUUGGGACUGAGACACGGCCCAG